rnacentral:rRNA from 1 species
UUAACACAUGCAAGUCGAGGGGCAGCAUGGUCUUAGCUUGCUAAGGCUGAUGGCGACCGGCGCACGGGUGAGUAACACGUAUCCAACCUGCCGUCUACUCUUGGCCAGCCUUCUGAAAGGAAGAUUAAUCCAGGAUGGGAUCAUGAGUUCACAUGUCCGCAUGAUUAAAGGUAUUUUCCGGUAGACGAUGGGGAUGCGUUCCAUUAGAUAGUAGGCGGGGUAACGGCCCACCUAGUCAACGAUGGAUAGGGGUUCUGAGAGGAAGGUCCCCCACAUUGGAACUGAGACACGGUCCAAACUCCUACGGGAGGCAGCAGUGAGGAAUAUUGGUCAAUGGGCGAUGGCCUGAACCAGCCAAGUAGCGUGAAGGAUGACUGCCCUAUGGGUUGUAAACUUCUUUUAUAAAGGAAUAAAGUCGGGUAUGCAUACCCGUUUGCAUGUACUUUAUGAAUAAGGAUCGGCUAACUCCGUGCCAGCAGCCGCGGUAAUACGGAGGAUCCGAGCGUUAUCCGGAUUUAUUGGGUUUAAAGGGAGCGUAGAUGGAUGUUUAAGUCAGUUGUGAAAGUUUGCGGCUCAACCGUAAAAUUGCAGUUGAUACUGGAUGUCUUGAGUGCAGUUGAGGCAGGCGGAAUUCGUGGUGUAGCGGUGAAAUGCUUAGAUAUCACGAAGAACUCCGAUUGCGAAGGCAGCCUGCUAAGCUGCAACUGACAUUGAGGCUCGAAGUGUGGGUAUCAAACAGG